CGGGAUAACUGCUGAAGCAUCUAAGUAGAAGCCACUCAAGAUGAGUGCUCUCCU
rnacentral:rRNA from 1 species